GCUGAAAGGGCCACGUUUGUUUUCAUUACAAGUAAGACCACCGAGUGGGCUCCUGGCGUGGGGGCGGGAGCAGCCGCGCGCAGUCUUCAGAGGCAGCCCCCCAGGCUGUCUCUGGAGGGUGUGUCUCUGCUUCCCUUUCCCCUUGUUUAUUUUUAGACGAAGCCAAGUGGCCCGGGUGGACCCUCUGGACUCCCAGCCUUCAGAGGGGAGGGCAGCUCGGGCUUUCGCCCCAGUGCUUCCUGCCCGUCACGUGUGUGUUCCUAGCCGGGGUCGGGAGAGCUGGUAUCUUGGCCCUUCUGGGAGGACGCGCACAGCCCGAGGAGGGAGAGCCGCAGACGGGAAUGGGCUUUUCAGAGGUGGGGUGCGGGCGAGGGGACGAUGCAUUAUUUUUAAUAUUUGAUUUAUUUUUCCAACUGAGCUUCUUCCCGGGGCUCUUUCUGGGCCCAGCUGCCUUUGUGAUCCCGCGCCCCGGCCCUCGGCCUCUCACCUCCAGCGCCGGGGCGCCCCCUGCUGUCGGAAGCGGCUGUGACCGAGCAGAGGUGCUAUCUGGGACUCUGGGUUCUCAGCCCGGGGACAGCGAACCGAGGGGCAGAUGAUCCAUCAGAAAAGAGCCGGCACUGCCCAGCCCCGCGCCCCUGCCCCUGCCUUUUUCCGGGAGCGCGCCGCGCCGCACCCCCUACGGCCGCUUGACCCCAUCUUUGAGCCCGGCCCCAGGCUCUGGGACCGUCGUGCCCCUCAUCAAGGAAGAGCCAAGGAUCCCAAGGAGAAGGUCAGGAGCCGCGAUGUGGAGGUCCCUUGGCUGCAGGCCCCGCCGCGCUCUCCCUCUAGUCCUUGCCUUCUCUAGGGACCAGGUAGCACCAGUCCCUGGAUCUCGGCCUUGUCUCCGUGUGCCCUGCUCCCCACCCCAUCUGCUAAGAACCAAGUCUGGUUCACCGGCUCCCAAGAGCUGGAACCCAUUCUCAGCUAGCUGGGGGCCCAGGCCACCCCUUCCCUCCCGACCUGUGUGCCUUCUGCGCUGACUCCAGGGCCCCCCACACCGUGACCAGGGCAGGUUCCCUAUGGGGCUGGCCAGUCGGCACCGUGCCAGGCCCACAGUGCCCUGGGCGUCCAUGGAAGUCGUUCUGUGUCUUUAAAAUCAGAAGGAAGACAUUAACCUUUAGGCUGAAGAAAAUGUUUUAGUAGACAGCAUUAACUUAUUUAUCUUUAUCCAACAGCCAUAAAAUAUAACUUUAAAUAUUCUAUUGAUAGAGAAAGGAGUUCAUGAAGGCAGAAAUGCCUGGGGCCCACAAACAUCCCAGUGUGGCCCUGGACGGGACAUCAUGCUGGCCAACAGAGCUAAAAUGCGGGUGAAGACCAGAUUUCUUGCACAUGGCGGUGACGGGAUGCUCCCUAGAGAGCUUCAUGUGGCUUCUUUGCUUUUUAUUUUCUCUCUUAAUAAAAAUGUAUGAUGUUUACAUUGUCAGAGAACAAACAGAA
rnacentral:lncRNA from 1 species